GACGAACGCUGGCGGCGUGCUUAACACAUGCAAGUCGAGCGAUGAAACACCUUCGGGUGCGGAUUAGCGGCGAACGGGUGAGGAACACGUGAGGAAUCUGCCUUCCACUCUGGGAUAACUCCGGGAAACCGGGGCUAAUACCGGAUACUUUCAACUGGCGGCAUCGCCGGUUGAAGAAAGUGUUUCGGUGGAAGAUGACCUCGCGGCCUAUCAGCUUGUUGGUGAGGUAAAGGCUCACCAAGGCGACGACGGGUAGCCGGCCUGAGAGGGCGACCGGCCACACGGGGACUGAGACACGGCCCAGACUCCUACGGGACGCAGCAGUGGUGAAUAUUGGGCAAUGGAGGAAACUCUGACCCAGCGACGCCGCGGGAGGGAUGAAGGCCUUCGGGGUGUAAACCUCUUUCAGCAGGGAAUAAGCGAAAGUGAAGGUACCUGCAGAAGAAGCACCGGCUAACUAUGUGCCAGCCGCCGCAGUAA
rnacentral:rRNA from 1 species